UCAAGGAUUAAGCUAUGAAGC
rnacentral:miRNA from 1 species